UUCAUGUUGUUCUCUUGUGUGGUCAGACCCUCCUUUUGGUUGUUUUGUUGCCGACGACAUCAUGGAUAAAGUUUGUUUACCAGCUGUAGUUUUAGAAUCAGCAGUUUAAGCAGCUGGUUGAUGUCUCAACAUAGCCUGUAGCUUCUGACAUCUGCUUCUAAAAGGUAGUACUAGCAUCAGUACUUAUUUUAGUUGCGCUUUCUAAGGGAAAAUUUCCAUAGUACUUUGAUUAUCUUCAUCUGCGGAGUAGCCCUUUCAGCUUGUGUAACCAAAAUAUUCUAGGGAGUAGUGACCUCAAUCUGGCUGAACUGUUUAUGGAGGAUGAUGGUUGCAUCACAACAAAUUUGUUGGAUAGCUCUUGUUACACAUAAAUUCUUUCACAUUCAUAUUUUCUUUUUGCAUCUUGCUUUCCGUAUAUGCCAAUGAAUAAGAAGGGGGAUAUCCCAUCUUCUGGAUAUUAUCAUCAGUGGGUGAUAUCAUCAGUGCUAUUAUCAGUUGCAACCUCCAGCACUUAGUACCAUAUGUUCUUGCAAUUCAUGAUUCACAACUUUAGCAUUAAGAUCAGCUGGUUUUAUUAGUAGAAUCACCAACUGUAGCAGUAGGAUGAUCCAGCUUAUUAUAAGCUUGCACGACUGGCUUCUCAGCUGGGUUUUGCCGUAUUUUUGGGUUGGUUUCGGAAGGAGAAUUGUUGAAUUUUGCAGAAGCUUUGGGAAGGUGAUUUCUUUAGAUGUUUUGCUGCAUUUUUGGGCGAUAUUUGCAUCUGUUUUGCUGUGUUUUUUGGGCGAUAUUUGCAGCUGUUUUAGAUCUAGUUGUCCUGCCUUAGAAUGUAAUAUCUGUGUCAUUUUGUCCUUUGAAUAUUCUAACUGUUUCUGCUUUGCAUACUUCUUGGGUGAUUUAACUGUUUCUGCUUUGCACACUUCUUGUCCUCUGAAGUACUUUUUAAUGGCAUUUGAGAUGGGUACACUAUAAAGUUUAUGCCAUGAUUUUGGGUUCAAAUAUCAAACAUAAUUAGUUAUUUAAGCAGAACUUCCAUGGAAAAUCGAGUUAUAUGCCUUGGCAAUACUCUACUGGAUACUCUAAAGUCCCCCAUUCUUAACAAUUGUUUUGUCAUUGUUUAUAUGCCUUGGCAAUACUCUACUGGACACUCUAAAGUCCCCCAUUCUUAACAAUUGUUUUGUCAUUGUUCCCUCUUCUC
rnacentral:lncRNA from 1 species